GACGAACGCUGGCGGCGUGCCUAAUACAUGCAAGUCGAGCGGACCUCUUCGGAGGUUAGCGGCGGACGGGUGAGUAACACGUGGGCAACCUGCCUGUAAGACUGGGAUAACUCCGGGAAACCGGAGCUAAUACCGGAUAGUAUCUUGAACCGCAUGGUUCAAGUUGGAAAGACGGUUUCGGCUGUCACUUACAGAUGGGCCCGCGGCGCAUUAGCUAGUUGGUGAGGUAAUGGCUCACCAAGGCAACGAUGCGUAGCCGACCUGAGAGGGUGAUCGGCCACACUGGGACUGAGACACGGCCCAGACUCCUACGGGAGGCAGCAGUAGGGAAUCUUCCGCAAUGGACGAAAGUCUGACGGAGCAACGCCGCGUGAGUGAUGAAGGUUUUCGGAUCGUAAAACUCUGUUGUUAGGGAAGAACAAGUGCGAGAGUAACUGCUCGCACCUUGACGGUACCUAACCAGAAAGCCACGGCUAACUACGUGCCAGCAGCCGCCGUAACAC
rnacentral:rRNA from 1 species